AGUGGAUGGGGAGCAACCUAGUUGUGCGUGUGUAAAGGUAGUGCCAAGAAAAGCGAUGAUCAUGUUGAAAAUCAAUUCCCGGUACCCGUAACCGACACAGGUGGGCAAGUAGAGAAUACUAAGGGGCGCGAGGUAACUCUCUCCAAGGAACUCGGCAAAAUGACCCCGUAACUUAGGGAGAAGGGGUGCCACCGAGAGGUGGUCGCAGUGAAGAGGCCCAGGCGACUGUUUAGCAAAAACAUAGGUCUCUGCAAACUCGAAAGAGGAGGUAUAGGGGCUGACGCCUGCCCAGUGCCGGAAGGUUAAAGAAGUUGGUCGGUUUUAGGAUGAAGCUAGCGACUGAAGCCCCGGUGAACGGCGGCCGUAACCAUAACGGUCCUAAGGUAGCGAAAUUCCUUGUCGGGUAAGUUCCGACCCGCACGAAAGGCGUAACGAUCUGGGCGCUGUCUCGGAGAGAGGCUCGGCGAAAUAGGAUUGUCUGUGAAGAUACGGACUACCUGCAUUUGGACAGAAAGACCCUAUGAAGCUUUACUAUAGCUUGGAAUUGUGUUCGGGCUUCCUGUGCGCAGGAUAGGUGGGAGGCGUAGAAGGUAUUCUUGUGGGGAUACUGGAGCCAACGGUGAGAUACCACUCUCAGGAGGCUAGAAUUCUAACUUAAUUAAGGACAGUUUCAGGUGGGUAGUUUGACUGGGGCGGUCGCCUCCAAAAAGGUAACGGAGGCGUACAAAGGUUCCCUCAGACUGGUUGGAAAUCAGUCGAAGAGUGCAAAGGCAGAAGGGAGCUUGACUGCGAGAAGUACAGUUCGAGCAGGGUGGAAACACGGUCUUAGUGAUCCGACGGUGCUGUGUGGAAGGGCCGUCGCUCAACGGAUAAAAGUUACUCUAGGAUAACAGGCUGAUCUCCCCCAAGAGUUCACAUCGACGGGGAGGUUUGGCACCUCGAUGUCGGCUCAUCGCAACCUGGGGCGGAAGUACGUCCCAAGGGUUGGGCUGUUCGCCCAUUAAAGCGGUACGUGAGCUGGGUUCAGAACGUCGUGAGACAGUUCGGUCCAUAUCCGAUGUAGGCGUGAGAAUAUUGAGAGGAGCCUUCCUUAGUACGAGAGGACCGGGAAGGACGCACCGCUGGUGUACCUGUUAUGAUGCCAAUUGUAAACGCAGGGUAGCCAAGUGCGGAGAGGAUAACCGCUGAAAGCAUCUAAGUGGGAAGCCCACCUCAAGAUGAGUAUUCUGGUGUAAGGUCACGGGAAGACGACCCGUAAAUAGGCACGAGGUGGAAGUGCAGAGAUGUAUGAAGCCGAAGUGUACUAAUAGACCGUCGGCUUGACCG
rnacentral:rRNA from 1 species